UACGUAGGGUGCGAGCGUUAAUCGGAAUUACUGGGCGUAAAGCGUGCGCAGGCGGUGAUGUAAGACCGAUGUGAAAUCCCCGGGCUUAACCUGGGAAUGGCAUUGGUGACUGCACGGCUAGAGUGUGUCAGAGGGGGGUAGAAUUCCACGUGUAGCAGUGAAAUGCGCAGAUAUCAGGAGGAACACCGGUGGCGAAGGCGGAUCUCUGGGCCUUACCUGACGCUGAGGCGCGAAAGCUAGGGGAGCAAACAGG
rnacentral:rRNA from 1 species